rnacentral:misc_RNA from 1 species
GAGGAUGAUGUUGGGCUUUUGAAUCAUGUCCCUCCAUUUUCACCAGACUCAAUUGAGACAACUGACAAAUGGGGGAGGAUGAUGAGAACACUGUGACCUGAGGUCUUGCGAGAUAGGAUGGCAAUAUUUUUCAGUAAUUUUGGCUUUUGGGAUUCAAGAGAGCAUUUGCUCAGAUCUGGAGAUGAAACUUUCAGCCUUGUCUGCAACAAAAUUUGCUUUUUUUCGUCAAUAAACAGCUCUACAAGACACUAACAUUCCUGAACAAUGGGAAUCCAUCCUUCUCGCUGGUGUAGGAUGCAGCAUUUGGGAGAUGUAUAAUUUUUUUUUUUCAGCUUGCAAAUUUCUGUAUGUGUAUAAUUAUGAUUAAUUAAUUUUACCAAAGUUCGUCCCUUGACGUGAGGAAUAUUCUGUUGCAUUCUCAUACCUGUCCAUCAAUUGAUCUGAUUCUGUAUUUUACACCAAAUACGUGAGAUCAGUAGUUG